CCUACGGGGUGCUGCAGUGGGGAAUAUUGGACAAUGGGCGAAAGCCUGAUCCAGCCAUGCCGCGUGUGUGAAGAAGGCCUUCGGGUUGUAAAGCACUUUCAGUGGGGAAGAAAGCCUUGGGGCCAAUACCCUCGAGGAAGGACAUCACCCACAGAAGAAGCACCGGCUAACUCCGUGCCAGCAGCCGCGGUAAUACGGAGGGUGCGAGCGUUAAUCGGAAUUACUGGGCGUAAAGCGCGCGUAGGCGGUCUGAUAAGCCGGUUGUGAAAGCCCCGGGCUCAACCUGGGAACGGCAUCCGGAACUGUCAGGCUAGAGUGCAGGAGAGGAAGGUAGAAUUCCCGGUGUAGCGGUGAAAUGCGUAGAGAUCGGGAGGAAUACCAGUGGCGAAGGCGGCCUUCUGGACUGACACUGACGCUGAGGUGCGAAAGCGUGGGUAGCAAACAGGAUUAGAUACCCUAGUAGUC
rnacentral:rRNA from 1 species